rnacentral:rRNA from 1 species
UACGUAGGCAGCAAGCGUUGUUCGGAGUUACUGGGCGUAAAGGGUGCGUAGGCGGUCGGGUAAGUCUGAUGUGAAAUCUCACAGCUUAACUGUGAAACUGCAUUGGAUACUAUUCGGCUUGAGAGUUGGAGGGGGGACUGGAAUUCUUGGUGUAGCAGUGAAAUGCGUAGAUAUCAAGAGGAACACCAGUGGCGAAGGCGAGUCCCUGGACAACUUCUGACGCUGAGGCACGAAAGCUAGGGGAGCAAACAGG